rnacentral:piRNA from 1 species
UCCAACAGUGCGGUUGCCUGGG